CCCAAGGCAGAGGGUGGAGGGGCAGGGAGGACAAUCUAGAGCAAGUGACAUCUCAAGUGGCCUGAACGAUGGCAGGAGCCAGCUAAAUCAAGGGACACUAAAAGGAGAAAGUGUCACACCUUCAAGAAACUAAAAACCACUCAAUGAAAGGGAAGGAUGAGCUGUGUGAGGUCGGAGCGGCAAGGCAAGCAGAGGCUGGAUCCAACUGGCUUGACUCUGGACCUUAAGACACAGGCCUCAGCACCUGCUGUUCCUGUGCCACUGUGCAAAUAGGAAGCCUUCCAGGGCACCAGGCUGCCAAUGUCCUGAUGCAAAAGAUGGAACUGGGAUAAAGCUGAUCUUGGGAACCCUGGACCACCAUGUGAAAAAGCUAAACUUUGGGCUAGCCUAUUGGAGGGUUAGAGACCAAAUGGAAUAGAGAUAAGCUUCUCAACCAAGGCCUCCUAAAUCAAUCAUCCAGCCAAGCACCAGACAUAUUAGUGCCAUUACGUGAGGUCAUCUGGACCCCAGCCAAGCUGCCACU
rnacentral:lncRNA from 1 species